rnacentral:lncRNA from 1 species
AUGGAACCAAAUUCAUCACACGGGGAGCCAAAUGAGCCGUGUCUGCGAGGCAAGCAUGACUUGAAAUGUGAUUAUCAGGUAGUACCAGACAGCUUCAUUAUUCGGCUAACUACAAGGUCCUCACAGCAUAUUUAAGGGAGAAACUAGGGUUCACAUUUAGCUGUUUCUUCUCAGAGGACAUACAUACAUAUAUAUACUUUUGUCGAUAAUUUAUUCAUGGCAGUGAAUCUCUCACUAGUUUAGCUACAAAAGGCAGGGGUUUCAUCUGUGCGACUUAUGAGAUCCGAUGCGUGAAUGGUUUUACUUUACCCUGCUAUACUGCCGUUCAACGAGGAUGGCAAAACACACGCAUUCCAAAACCUCUUAUGAUGUGGCGCCACUAAAGCAGCCAUGAAAUGCGCCAUAUGUUUGCCUGCGCUUUUGAUUUCUAACUGUAGGUAGUCGCGAGUUCCUUCAUCCCUGGACAACAGAGAAAGAAGAGGGGCAUGGUAGCAUCAAUGGCAGUCGGACGAAACGGAGCAAAGAUGGGUGUAAUGGCGAUCCUUACCGGCUUUCGACUCUUUCCUUACGUCGCCGCGCGGCCGCAUUCCGUCGAACAGGUCGCGGGCAUCCGGCGAGGCAGCCCCGUUUCCACUCUUCCUCAUCUACCUCCCCGCGACGGCGACGCGCUUAGCCGAGGCAAGCCUCCCCACACGGCGGAGGCGCGCGUGGCGCCCCGAGCCGCGCCCACCUCCACGGCGGGGGAGGUCGCCCAGCUCCCAAAACCGGAC